CUGAGUGGAAGUCAGAUGCUUAACCGACAGAGCCACCCAGGGGCAGAGCACCUGAGUCCCACUUACUUACCCUGUCAAAGGAGGACACUAAGAGCAGAUACUCCACAGGUUCAACGUGAGCAUUCGGGCUGCACGGGGGAGGAAACCAACUCAGGGAUUAAAGCAUCUUUCAGCGCUUCUCAGCUGUGUGGGGAGGCGGCUUUCCUCGGAGGAGCUCCAGACUUUAUCAAGACAGAGAAAUCUUGCUUUUUCUCUUCAAAAUGAAAAUGGACUUGGAGAUCAGUGAACCAAUAGACUUCAGUUCUGGAGAUCAUCAGCAUCUGGUUCGGAAAGCAGCAGAUAGUAACAUCCAGACUGGGCCUAGUCACUCCACAAGUUUACCUUCAUCUGAGCCACAAAGAACUCAUGAAGAACCACAUUCUAAGACUAGAGAGCGAUUGGAUUCCUAUGUGGUACAGAUUUCAGAAGACACCACCCCAGAGGUCAGCAGUUCUUUAGGCAAUUUGUUCUCAGAUUCAUCUGUCC